AGAUUGAACGCUAGCGGGAUGCUUUACACAUGCAAGUCGAACGGCAGCGCGGACUUCGGUCUGGCGGCGAGUGGCGAACGGGUGAGUAAUAUAUCGGAACGUGCCCAGUAGCGGGGGAUAACUACGCGAAAGCGUGGCUAAUACCGCAUACGCCCUACGGGGGAAAGGGGGGGAUCGCAAGACCUCUCACUAUUGGAGCGGCCGAUAUCAGAUUAGCUAGUUGGUGAGGUAAAGGCUCACCAAGGCGACGAUCUGUAGCUGGUUUGAGAGGACGACCAGCCACACUGGGACUGAGACACGGGCCCAGACUCCUACGGGAGGCAGCAGGUGGGGUAAUUUGGACAAGUGGGGGACAACCCGUGAUCCAGCAAUGCCGCGUGAGUGAGUGAAGGCCGUUAAGGGUUGUAAACGUCCCGUUUUACCCGAGUAUGAAUAAUGAACAGUA
rnacentral:rRNA from 1 species